GGUUAAUAUUCCUGUACUUGGUGUUACUGCGAAGGGGGGACGGAGAAGGCUAUGUUAGCCGGGCGACGGUUGUCCCGGUUUAAGCAUGUAGGCGGAGCGUUUAGGUAAAUCCGGACGCUUAUUAACGCUGAGGUGUGAUGACGAGGCACUACGGUGCUGAAGUAACAAAUGCCCUGCUUCCAGGAAAAGCCUCUAAGCAUCAGGUAACAUCAAAUCG
rnacentral:rRNA from 1 species